AGAUUGAACGCUGGCGGUAUGCUUAACACAUGCAAGUCGAACGGCAGCACAGGGUAGCUUGCUAUCCGGGUGGCGAGUGGCGGACGGGUGAGUAACGCGUAGGAAUCUACCUUUUUGUGGGGGAUAACCCGGGGAAACUCGGGCUAAUACCGCAUACGCCCUACGGGGGAAAGCGGGGGACCUUUGGGCCUCGCGCAAAAAGAUGAGCCUGCGUCCUAUCAGGUAGUUGGUGAGGUAAUGGCUCACCAAGCCGACGACGGGUAGCUGGUCUGAGAGGACGACCAGCCACACUGGGACUGAGACACGGCCCAGACUCCUACGGGAGGCAGCAGUGGGGAAUAUUGGACAAUGGGGGCAACCCUGAUCCAGCAAUACCGCGUGUGUGAAGAAGGCCUUCGGGUUGUAAAGCACUUUAGUCAGGAAAGAAUGACUGCGCGUUAAUACCGCGCGGUUUGUACGUUACUUGCAGUAAAAAGACACCGGCUAACUCCGUGCCAGCAGCCGACGGUAA
rnacentral:rRNA from 1 species